ACAAUGAAGAGUUUGAUCCUGGCUCAGGAUGAACGCUAGCUACAGGCUUAACACAUGCAAGUCGAGGGGCAGCAUGGUCUUAGCUUGCUAAGGCCGAUGGCGACCGGCGCACGGGUGAGUAACACGUAUCCAACCUGCCGUCUACUCUUGGACAGCCUUCUGAAAGGAAGAUUAAUACAAGAUGGCAUCAUGAGUCCGCAUGUUCACAUGAUUAAAGGUAUUCCGGUAGACGAUGGGGAUGCGUUCCAUUAGAUAGUAGGCGGGGUAACGGCCCACCUAGUCUUCGAUGGAUAGGGGUUCUGAGAGGAAGGUCCCCACAUUGGAACUGAGACACGGUCCAAACUCCUACGGGAGGCAGCAGUGAGGAAUAUUGGUCAAUGGGCGAGAGCCUGAACCAGCCAAGUAGCGUGAAGGAUGACUGCCCUAUGGGUUGUAAACUUCUUUUAUAAAGGAAUAAAGUCGGGUAUGGAUACCCGUUUGCAUGUACUUUAUGAAUAAGGAUCGGCUAACUCCGUGCCAGCAGCCGCGGUAAUACGGAGGAUCCGAGCGUUAUCCGGAUUUAUUGGGUUUAAAGGGAGCGUAGAUGGAUGUUUAAGUCAGUUGUGAAAGUUUGCGGCUCAACCGUAAAAUUGCAGUUGAUACUGGAUAUCUUGAGUGCAGUUGAGGCAGGCGGAAUUCGUGGUGUAGCGGUGAAAUGCUUAGAUAUCACGAAGAACUCCGAUUGCGAAGGCAGCCUGCUAAGCUGCAACUGACAUUGAGGCUCGAAAGUGUGGGUAUCAAACAGGAUUAGAUACCCUGGUAGUCCACACGGUAAACGAUGAAUACUCGCUGUUUGCGAUAUACUGCAAGCGGCCAAGCGAAAGCGUUAAGUAUUCCACCUGGGGAGUACGCCGGCAACGGUGAAACUCAAAGGAAUUGACGGGGGCCCGCACAAGCGGAGGAACAUGUGGUUUAAUUCGAUGAUACGCGAGGAACCUUACCCGGGCUUAAAUUGCAGAUGAAUUACGGUGAAAGCCGUAAGCCGCAAGGCAUCUGUGAAGGUGCUGCAUGGUUGUCGUCAGCUCGUGCCGUGAGGUGUCGGCUUAAGUGCCAUAACGAGCGCAACCCUUGUUGUCAGUUACUAACAGGUUCCGCUGAGGACUCUGACAAGACUGCCAUCGUAAGAUGUGAGGAAGGUGGGGAUGACGUCAAAUCAGCACGGCCCUUACGUCCGGGGCUACACACGUGUUACAAUGGGGGGUACAGAGGGCCGCUACCACGCGAGUGGAUGCCAAUCCCCAAAACCUCUCUCAGUUCGGACUGGAGUCUGCAACCCGACUCCACGAAGCUGGAUUCGCUAGUAAUCGCGCAUCAGCCACGGCGCGGUGAAUACGUUCCCGGGCCUUGUACACACCGCCCGUCAAGCCAUGGGAGCCGGGGGUACCUGAAGUGCGUAACCGCGAGGAGCGCCCUAGGGUAAAACUGGUGACUGGGGCUAAGUCGUAACAAGGUAGCCGUACCGGAAGGUGCGGCUGGAACACCUCCUUU
rnacentral:rRNA from 1 species